GCUCUAGUGGUGCAAUGGUUAAGCACUUGGCUGCUAACCAAAAUGUUGGUGGUUUGCACCCACCCAGCGGCU
rnacentral:tRNA from 1 species